rnacentral:rRNA from 1 species
UGAAUACGAGAUGCUACGGCGUCGAAGCAGUCUAUGUCAUACUUCCAAGAAAAGCUCGCACUGUCAUAAACAAAUAAUGCCUGUACCAUAACCGACACAGGUGGGUAGGUAGAGUAUACUAAGGGGCGCGAGAUAACUCUCUCUAAGGAACUCGGCAAAAUGACUCCGUAACUUCGGGAGAAGGAGUGCCUUAUUUAUAAGGUUGCAAUAACAAGAUCCAAGCAACUGUUUAUCAAAAACACAGGUCUCCGCUAAGUCGUAAGACGAUGUAUGGGGGCUGACGCCUGCCCAGUGCCAGAAGGUUAAAGAAGUUGGUUAGCAUUCGCGAAGCUGAUAACUGAAGCCCUGGUGAACGGCGGCCGUAACUAUAACGGUCCUAAGGUAGCGAAAUUCCUUGUCGGGUAAGUUCCGACCCGCACGAAAGGCGUAAUGAUUUGGAUACUGUCUCGGAGAGGGGCUCGGUGAAAUAGACUUGUCUGUGAAGAUGCGGACUACCUGCACCAGGACAGAAAGACCCUAUGAAGCUUUACUGUAACUUGAGAUUGAAAUUGGACUUUACUUGCGCAGUAUAGGUGGGAGGCGUUGAUAAUAUUCUUGCGGGAUUAUUUGAGCCAUCAGUGAGAUACCACUCUUGUAAUGUUAGAUUUCUAACUUUGUAUCAUUAUCUGGUCAAAGGAUAGUUUCAGGCGGGCAGUUUGACUGGGGCGGUCGCCUCCUAAACGGUAACGGAGGCGCACAAAGGUUUCCUCUGAACGGGUAGAAAUCGUAUCUAGAGUGUAAAGGCAUAAGGAAGCUUGACUGUGAGACCUACAAGUCGAGCAGGGACGAAAGUCGGUCUUAGUGAUCUGACGGUGCUGAGUGGAAAGGCCGUCACUCAACGGAUAAAAGUUACUCUAGGAUAACAGGCUGAUCUCCCCCAAGAGUUCACAUCGACGGGGAGGUUUGGCACCUCGAUGUCGACUCAUCGCAUCCUGGGGCGGUAGUACGUCCCAAGGGUUGGGCUGUUCGCCCAUGAAAGCGGUACGCGAGCUGGGUUCAGAACGUCGUGAGACAGUUCGGUCCAUAUCCGGUGUAGGCGUUAGAAUAUUGAGAGGAGCCUUCUUUAGUACGAGAGGACCGAGAAGGACAUACCUCUGGUGUACCAGUUAUCGUGCCAACGGUAAACGCUGGGUAGCUAUGUAUGGAGUGGAUAACCGCUGAAAGCAUCUAAGUGGGAAGCCCACCUCAAGAUAAGUAUUCUCA